GACGAACGCUGGCGGCGUGCUUAACACAUGCAAGUCGAACGGUGAAGCGCCUUCCUUUUUGGUGGGUGUGGAUGAGUGGCGAACGGGUGAGUAACACGUGAGUAACCUGCCCCCUUCUUCUGGAUAACCGCAUGAAAGUGUGGCUAAUACGGGAUAUUCUGGUUCUGUCGCAUGAUGGGUCUGGGAAAGAUAUUGUUUCGGUGGUGGAUGGGCUCGCGGCCUAUCAGCUUGCUGGUGGGGUGAUGGCCUACCAAGGCGGUGACGGGUAGCCGGCCUGAGAGGGUGGACGGUCAUACUGGGACUGAGACACGGCCGAGACUCCUACGGGAGGCAGCAGUGGGGAAUAUUGCACAAUGGGCGCAAGCCUGAUGCAGCGACGCCGCGUGAGGGAUGGAGGCCUUCGGGUUGUGAACCUCUUUCGCCAGUGAAGCAGGCCUGCCUCGUUUGUGGGUGGGUUGACGGUAGCUGGAUAAGAAGCGCCGGCUAACUACGUG
rnacentral:rRNA from 1 species